GCCGCUGACUGAUCUGUUCUUUUUUGACUUGUUUUUUCUCCACUAACCUUGGAGGCAGACUCGUUUUCGAAAGAUAAGUCAAAAACGAAUAGAAAGCCUCCCAAGUGGGAGGCUUUUUUAUG
rfam:Vibrio sp. N418 VIBRN418_22, whole genome shotgun sequence.